rnacentral:misc_RNA from 1 species
UCCUUAGAAUGUCCAUUUUAUGCACACAGAGAGGGGGAAUGCCCAAAUGCUGUGAUUUGGACAUCUUACUUGACAUGAUAUAAUAAAUAAUUGAGGAGGCUACUCAAACAAAGCAACCAAAUUAGAGACAAAAAGAGAGCCUAAAACUUUGAUUGAAGUAGCCAGCUAUUUCCCAUGAGGCAUGGGAUGCUAGAUUUUGACAUCUUAACCUCCCACAGGAGCUACAGUGAAUAGCAUGAGAGAAUACACAUUGGUUAUCCACCACAUAGAGAACUGCCAUGGUGGUCCUGGUACAACUCUUGCUUGCUGGCCAAAACAUGGGCAACAGUCAUGUACCCUAAGUAGAACAAGCACCUAACAAGAUGGACAUUAUGUAAAAUUUUUUGGCAUGCUAAAUCUUCUGAAUAAUCCCCACAACCACCAACAGAAGCUAACAACGUCCCAAUUUUCUUCUGUUUGAACCCCUAAGUUGUGCGGUGAGGGGCCAAUUCUUCAGGCAGCAAGACUAGCAAUCUAUAGCAAAUGUGGAACUGGCAAAAUUUAAAGAUUUGCAAAACAAAGGAAGAAAUGUUUAAAUCUUGACGAGGUUAAAGCGUGAAAGGGAGAGGAGUGAGUGGUACCCAGAUACCAUUCAUACAUGUUGUCAGAAACCAUGUGACAGUGUGGACCUCACCCAUUCAUGUCCACCUAAAAGAAACAACAGAACGAGACAAAAAAGUCCCUAAAGUAACCUUUAAUCACAUGAAAGAACAAUCUUUACUUUACCCCUCUUUUUAUAAUU